GACCUGAUUCCACAGCUGGUAGUGCGUCUGCUCAAAAUGCAAGAAUGGUUGACCGAUUUAGUUCGACUCGGGGUCGGGUCG